UGGCAGAGAAGCUAACAUUUACUCCUGUACCGUGCCCCCAGCAGCCACAAGGGACGAAUCUAUGUGGAUACUACGUUUGCGAGUCCAUUCGCAUGUUAACCACUGAGAAGCAGAACAAUAAUAAAUUCGACGUCGACUACAUGCGGGACAUACUCCAACCAAAGGAACACCUAAUAGGAAUCGCCGAGGAACUGGCGGGACUUUUGGUUAGAGAAGUAUUAAACAACAAAGGCUUGUUUAGUCCAAAUGGAUGCUCUACCUCCAAAUAGACGGUCGUUAGUACCGCUUGUCUGUCGAUCGUGAGCUCCAUGUAUAUAUAUAUGUAAGGGAAGAAUAUGUAAGGGGAAUCGACUUGUGCUUCCAUAUUUGUUUGAUCGAUCUAUAUAUAUAUAUAUAAUGAAUGAACGUGUAUAACUUCUA